CAAUGGCUGUUACAAAGAGUAGCUGAAACGCAAGUUUAUAGCCAAUCUCAUAAAAGCAGUCUCAGUUCGGAUUGAAGUCUGCAACUCGACUUCAUGAAGUUGGAAUCGCUAGUAAUCGCGAAUCAGCAUGUCGCGGUGAAUACGUUCUCGGGGUUUGUACACACCGCCCGUCAAACCACGAAAGUUGGUAAUACUCAAAAACGGUAGCCUAACUUCUUCGGAAGAGGGAACCGUCUAAGGUAGGAUCGAUGAUUGGGGUUAAGUCGUAACAAGGUAUCCCUACCGGAAGGUGGGGAUGGAUCACCUCCUUUCUAAGGAAUAAUUUUUUAAAUAUUCAUCUUCAGUUUUGAAAGACUUAGUUCUUAUAAGUUUUUCUUUUUUAAGGAAAAGAAAAUGGGCCUAUAGCUCAGUUGGUUAGAGCACACGCCUGAUAAGCGUGAGGUCGAUGGUUCAAGUCCAUUUAGGCCCCCCAACCGAAAAAAACGUCUUUUUUCUAAUUCUUAAAAAAAAAGUUCUUUGAAAAGUAGAUAAACAAAGUAUUUUUUAAAAAUCAAAGGAAUGCAAGG
rnacentral:misc_RNA from 1 species